GAGUGCAGUAGUCAUCAGGCAUUUCUGGGAGUUGGGAAGCAUGUCGAUGCUGUACCUGGACACUCUGGAUAGGCCAGGAUAAGGAAACAUUGGGAAUGUGGUAAUUACGUAAAUUCCUGUUUCCUGGAGUUUAUGGGCUCUGAUAUGAGCAAAUCAAUAUCAUGCGUCAUGGAGCUGGUGUUCAGCAAGUAUCAGGAUAGGAGUUGUUCAACUCUGAAGGAUCAAGGAUGCAUGCUGGAAUUUAAAGGCAACAGUUUGAGAGUGAUGAGAAUUUGGCUGUCAUGCUUCAACUAAGGAAGGAUCAAACGUCCUUCAUUGGAAAUUCCCAUUUCUGGUAAGG